GGGGAUUUAGCUCAGUGGUUCCAGUGCCUGCCCUGCAAGCACAAGGUCCCGAGUUCAAUCCCCGGUACCCCCG
rnacentral:tRNA from 1 species